rnacentral:sRNA from 1 species
GCUGGGCAUGGUGAUGUGUGCUUGUAGCCCUAGCUACUUGGGAGGCUGCAGCUGGAGGAUCACUUGAGCCCAAGAGUUCUGGGCUGUGGGUGUGCUAUACCAAUUGGGAGUUCACACUAAAUUCGUCAUUGAUAUGGUGACCUCUGUGAGUAGGGGACCACCAGGUUGCCUAAGGAGGGGUGAAUCUGCCCCGGUCAAAAA